CCACACUAACUUCCGGUGAGUUAAUUAUAAGUGAACUCUCUCGGGUCCACUCCAACAUGAAUGUUACAUCAUCAAUAAUGUAAUCCAACUCUUUUAGAGUUUUUAGUUUAAUUUCAUUCUUCAAUAUGUAGAACAUCUAUCACUUGGAGCAUUAAGAGCAUCCACGAUCAUGCUCGCUAAUUUUUAGUUAAAAUUUAGUUAAAAAC
rnacentral:lncRNA from 1 species